ACCUGGGUUCUAGUCUCAGUUCUUCCACUUUGUCUUUGGAGAUCACCAGAUUAUAAAAUUUCAAACUGGACUGGACCCAAAGAAAUCAUCUACUCUAACCCCCUCAUUUUAUAGAUUUGUAAACUGCUCCUCAAAGAGAUGAAAUGACUCAGUCCAGGAUGCAGCGUUGGCAGAGAGAGAUCUGACCCGGAUCCUUUCAUUCCAUAUCCAGUGCACACCAGGAUUUCUUUGCUCUGGGACUCUUUUUCUUCCUCUGAUAAGUAGGGAUAACAAUCCCUGUCCUGCUCUGCUUAAAGGGGGUUGGGAGGGUCAUGUAUUUAGAAGGCUGGGAAUCUAGGGAGCUUUGGCAGAGUUCCUUAAGAUCUCUGAGGCAGGUGGCUGACUUAGAGUGGCCAACCCUGCUUCAGAGAAACUCUCUGGUUGUCCUUUGUUAUGCAGAUGUACUCUUUGUUUUAAGGAGUGAGGAAUUAGCCCAAACAUGUGCAAGUAAUGAAUCCAGACCAAGUCCCGUUUAUAGAGAAAGAAAAGACUCUCAAAUUGCCUCUCUCCUUGGUUAUGCCCUACUUACCCAUUUUCUGGGCUAUCAGAGCUGUGGGGCAUGCUGGAAUGUAUCAAUUAGAAUCACAGAAAGUCAGAGCAGGGAGGGAACCGGGAAAUUAAGGGGGCAGGUGGGUGGCUCAGUGGAUGGAGAGCCAGGGAGUCCUGGGUUCAAAUCUAGCCUCAAACCCUUCCUCCGUGGGUUAACCUUGAGCAAGUCACCCCCCUUGCAUGUAGGACACACUGCUCUUCUGCCUUGGAACCAAUACACAGUAUUGAUUCCAAGAGGGUAGGUAACGGUUUUUAAAAAAGACUAGGGAAAUUAAGUGUUAGGAGAGGCCUUCCUUUCUGAGCUUGUUUUGUCAUCCCUCAAAUGAGGAUCAUAUUUUAUUUCAUUCCAUAUACCCCCAGCACACAGUUACAGCCAGGAAGGGCCUCUUAUGCAUUUUCUCUCUAUCCCUAUCCUGACUACGCUGACUGUCCUACAGUUUUGAGGGACUUAUGACAAAGAACGUUCUCCACCUCUGGAGAAAGAACUCUUGGUGUCAGAAAGCAGAUCAAAGCAGACUGUCUUUCACAUUAGUUUAUUUAUGGGUUUAAAUGUGUAUUCUCUUACAAAAAUGAACAAUAUGGAAAUAUGUUUUACAUGAUAAUACAUGUAUAACCCGGAUUGAGGUGUUUGCCAGCUCUGGGAGGGGGGAGGGAAGGAGACAAUUUGGAUCCUAUAACUUUGGAAAACUGAUGUGAGAAUGUAUAACUUGUAAUUGAUAAAACAAAAUAUCUUUUUAAUAUGCUGAUUUUCUAGCUCUUAUUCAAAAAAAGGUUUUCUCAAACCUACUGUUCCCCUAUUACAACAGCUAAACUUUAUAUAGCUUCUUAAGAUUUGCAAAGUGCUUACUUGAGCCUUAUACUAAACUUCUGGAAUAGAUAAUGCAGGUAACAUUAUAAUCAUUUUACAGAUGAGCAGACUGAGGCGUAGAGUAAUUAUGCAUCCUGCCCAUUUUUUACAUUGAGUAUACAGUUAGGAACAAGAUUUGAACCCAGGUCUUUCCAACACCAUGCUAAUCUGUUCCUAGGCUCAUACUUGAAGCCAUUGAAUAUGCCAGUCAAAGGAAUCUUGGAGUGGAGGCAGCCAAAGUUAUCAUACUGGGCCCUGUGUAACAAGAAAUUAAGCCAGGCUACCAAUACUAGCUCAUAUCCAGGGGUGAUUCAUGUAGACUUAUCUGGAUGAGGGUGAAGAUCAUUUGAAGAGAGCUUGUUCUGGCUGGAAAAAUCCUGUUGUUUCUUUCUUCCUCAUGUACCUUGGUCAUGUUUUCUUCAUCCUAGUUUUUGUUUUUUUUUAAUCAGUCUCCCCAUCAUGCCUUUGGUGUAGAGGGAUGUGGUUUCUGCCAAAUGUCUCCUAGCUACCAAUUAGCUAGCAUCACCUUGGAGGAGUAGACACUGAUGAAUUAGCAGGAUAAUAGAUAUGUGUGGGGACUGAACUUGGACUCCAAGAACCUGUGUUUGAAUCCUGACUGAGUGCUUACUCCCUGUAUGACCUCAGGCAGGUCAAAUGACUCCCUUCUCCACACCUCAGCUUUGAGGUACUGGAUUAAAUUAUCUCAAAAAAUCACUUCCAUGCCAGAGAGGCAGUAUGGAAGGGUGGAAGGACCAUUCAGUUUGGAAUCAGGAGAGACAUGCCGCUGUGUGGCACUAAGUGAGUUCAUUUGAUAUCUUUAAGCCUGAAUUUCUUUUAUCUCAAAAAAAAUUUUUUUUAAGUUUUACUGAUGUGCUUUUGUUUUUACAUUGCAAUCAGUUCCAGAUUACUCUGACUCUUGUAACACAGUAAAACGAUUCAGCUAACCUCAAGAUAUAGUGACUUUAUCUGAAAGUGCAGGCAGCACACUACAUCUUUAGCACCCUCCCAACCUCUCGAGUUCUUUUUUUUAAUUAACAGACAUCUAUUUUCUUCCCCUCCCAAUCCUACCCAAAUAAAAAAAGAGAAAAGAAAAACAUCUCUCGUAACAAAUAUGCAUAGUCAAGCAAAACACCCCAAGGAGAUCAAAGAAAUAGGAAAAAGUCUUUUAUGUACAAAAAUAUUCAUGUCAGCUCUUUUUGUGGUAUUAAAAAAACAACCUGGAAAGGCAUGCCUGAAUGAUGACUGAAUAAUUUGGGGUAUAUAAAUGUGAUGGAGAACUACUGAGGCAAUGAGCAAAUAGAUAAUUUUGAAGAGACGUGGAAAGACUCGUAUGAACGGAUACAUAGGGAAGAGAGCAGAACCAGAAGAACAAUUUGUCCUGAAACAUCAAUAUUAUAAAAAUGAACAGAAUUAUACAUUGGUUCUUUUCAAGGAAACUGUUUCCCCUUGAAUUGUUUGCUUUUCAGAAGGCAGAACCCUAGUUGCUGAGACCAAAUACCUUGGGCAAUCUUGAUUUCAUCUAACACUACAAAAGUUUCCCACAACACGUGUGGGGACGAGUGAUUGUGGAAUUAUUCCUGUGUAAACCCUGUUCUGGGGUCCAAGGAGCAUGGAAAUGUGGCUCUCAUGUGGCUCCGCUCUCAAGGAACUUAUAGUCUAGUAGUGGAGACAGGAGCUUCAUUGUGCCAUUGGGGCCAUUGAAAGGGCCUUUAUAGCAGGGAAUCUGGAGAACUGGAUUCUGGUUCUGCCACAAGCUUGUAGAGUAACCCUGGACAAGCCCUUUUAAUUCACUGGGCCUCAGUUUCCUGGUCUUUACAUUGAGAGGGUUGGAGUGGAUGACCUCUAAAGACUCUUUGAGCAGUACAGUUCUGGUCUAUAAUUGACUCUAAAGAGACAGAAUAUGUGGUUGUGUGUCCUCAGAGCUACAGAAGAUGCAUGAACAAAGAUUUGGGGAAGGUCCAAAAAAGGAAAACUUUUGGGGCUGCCACUCACCCUGGUGAUCCAUUGGACUUGAUAAAUCUUUUUUUCUUCUCCAAGCUGUUGUAUACUUGUACCUGCUGAGUCUUUGAAUACAAAGGUGAGGUUUCAUAUGUUUUGCUGUUUGCUCUCAGGGGUUUUCCAUGGAAUCCCAGAGCUUUCUCAUGAUGGAUAGAGUCAUAAUAUGAAGGCCCUAAAAAGGGAACCUGGAAACAGGACUGUUUAUCUCUAUUAAAUCUCUCUGGGCAGGGAUUCUCUCUUUUACAGAAGAGGGAACUGAGGACCAGAGUGGUUCAAGGAUGUGCUUCAGGUCAUGCAGCUAGUUAACAAGACCUUGAUUCUUCCUACCCCAAAGGCAGGCUUUUCUCUCCUUGCCAGACUCUGCCUCAACUAAAACUAUUUAUCUGGCACACAAGGAAUUUCCAUAAGAUUCCUGUCCUUCUCCCUUCCCUCCAUACCCUAAAGCUUCUCUGGAAGGAAGCAUCCCUAGAAGAGGUGACAAGAAGGAAGCGAAUGGGCUCUGCAGUCCUGAGUUAGAAUAAUGCAGUUUCUAAAUGGAGUUUUUGUGCAGCCCAAGCAGACUAGAAUUGGGAAGCUGUGGUUCACUUGGGCACGCCAGACAGGCUGGAGCCCGAUAAGACCUAUCUCUUCCUAGCACAAAGGCCUGCUCUGUAUUCUGAUCAACUCCACAGCCUUUGGUAGUGAACACUGAGGACUGCUCACUGGACUCUGCUGCUGCUGCGUGACUGAAUCAGCUGCUUUUAAGGCUCUCCUUCUCCCUCUGUCUUGGUUGACGUGGCUCACUUUGCCCCCUCUGAGCCUUGCUGGGCCAAGUAAACAGGCAGGGCAGCUACAACCCUGUGCUAUAGGGAUGCCUCCCUUCAUCCUUAGGGAUGCUUGAACUUUGGAGGAUAAAACAGGGCCUGAGACUCAGGCUGAGAUGAAAGCAUCCUGGAUCCCUAAGCACCUAAAUGUCGAUUGUACCCUUUAGAGCUAGAACAGGUCUUGGAGAGAGAUCACAUGCUCCCAUGCCCUCAUUUUAGGAGCAAAGAAAUCAGUGAGGCCCCCAAAAGGGAAGGGACUUCAUCUCACCUCAUUGAACAUUUGCUUGGCAGCAGGGUGGUACAGUAGAUGGAGUUCUGGGUAUGGAGUCAAGAAGAACUGCGUUCAAAUCUAGUCUCAGACAUUUACUGUCUGGGUGCCUCUGGGCAAGCCACUUGGCAUCUGUCUGCCUCAGUGUAAAAUGAGAAUUAUAACUGUCCCUAACUUACAAGGUUUGGAUUUGAACACAGGUUUUCCUAACUCCAGGCCCAACAUCUAUCCACUGGGACCCAUGGAAGAAAUUGGCAUCUUGGUAAGUCAUGUCUAUUGGGCCCCCCACUUCUGCCAUACUUGAAGGACCUUAUUUUCUCCAUGGGGGUUGCUGAGGGCAAAUGGACAAAAGGCAAGACAUCAGAUCAGAAGUUCUUCAUCCAGUGUGACAGGAGGCAGACCCUGCUCCUGGACACUUUCCAUGGAAUCUCAUAUUGGAGAGAGAAUCAUAACACGGAGGCCUUGAAAAGGAACUUGGAGUAGAGUAGGGGACGUGAGAACAGAACAUGCAGUGUCCAAGCUGGAAGCCCUGAUGGUUGAAUGUUCCAGGGGUAGCAAGUGGUGUCAUCAUUUCUUCCUCCUUUUCAUCAUACAGAUGAGGAAGCAGAGAGAGACAAAGGGACACCCCAAUUCUUGGCAGACCCAGGUCUGGCAUGUGGGGCUCCCGUCCCUCAUUCCAGGGUGCUUUGCAUUCUUCCAGCUGCUGGGUUCAGUGUUUUAUUGUCCAAAGUCAGCUGGAAAAAUUUGCUGCAGGCAAACUUUCUACCAAAGGUCUCAUCCUGGGAGGUAUUUUCCUUUAAAAUGUGGCUAUUAAUCACUGUAACUGAAAUGGGCAUAAUCAGUUACUUAAAAUGCUGAGCCUGAGCGUGUCAGAGAAUCCUCUCUUCUGUCCUGUGGAGUCGCCAUGCAUUGUCUUAUCAGUGGAGAUUGGAUAUGCAGAAAUAGGUUUCCGGCUUCCUGGGAUUGCAGCAGGUUCUGCCUAAAACUGUGAUUAGUAAAAUAUAAAAGCAGGAGAUGUGUACAUCAGUGCAUGGAGUGCAGGACUUAAUUAACCCAGUGGUCUGUGAAGGGAAGGAGCCUCAGUUGAGGUGACCCUCCCUCCCUCAGUAUUAGAGAUUGAUGGGACCCCAGACUCCACUCUCUGGAAUCAGUUAUACCUAUAUCAUUUGGAGACUCGUGCUUAUCAGUGCUAACCCCACUGUAAGCUGACAGACUCAAGAAAGUGCCCUGCUUCCCUUCUGUUGUCCAGAAACAGCUUGAGAGAGAAGAGGGUGCUCUGGGGCAAUGCUCAUUCUCUCUCGGGGACAUAGAAGAUGAUACCCACUUUUCUGUCCCCUAAACAUCAGGACCUAAGGUGCUGACUCAGAAGGAAAUACCCACACAGGCAUCUGGGAGAAAGUUGGGGCUUCAGACUCUCCAAGAACAGUUCCUUGUAUCAUUGAUCCUAGAUGGACUUCCUCUGUUUCUAAGCAUGCAAAGUCCUGAGUCACUCCUCAACGAAGCUGGUGAGCAGCUGCUCUGAUGGCCAACCCUUGGAGACUCCUGGUGCUUGUUGACCGAGAAGCAAGAUUCUGAGAGCUUUGUUAAAUGGAGAGUCUAAUCCCCAACCCUGAGGAAAUGGAGAUCCAGGGCAGGUGAGGGGACUCACCCCAGAUCCUGCCCAGACCAAAUGGCUGAACCUAGCAAUUGCCAACACAUAGGUAAAGUGGCAAAGUACGUUACAUGCAUGAUCUUGUUGGAUGUAAUCACAGAGAUUGUUCAAUGAUUUCUUGCUAUCAAUAUCGACUGAGGGAUAAAACCAGGCAAAGGGUGUGUUGCUCCAUUCUCCAUUGCCAUAGGACAUGUCCUGCUUGGGUGGAAUACAGAUGGAAGAAGGAUUCUCUGGGGAUGUGGAAGUCCUCCAAAUGUUCCUCUAUAUGGAGAAUUGCGUCAAGCCCCAGAAUGCUACAGAAAAAAUGGAUGAAGACAAGACAUUUGUCUAGACAAGGUUGGGCUGAGAAGAUGUAGAUGUGGUGGUUUCAUAAUGAAACAGGAAGAAGUGAGAGGAGGGACUGUAUUGGGGACUUUCCACAGUUACAAACUGCCUCCUUUUUAAUUUUUCAUUUUUUAUCUCUAAUCUGCAUGGCCAUGUCCAAACAUCUGUGUCCCCUUCUUUACCCAGCCCCUCAUUUCUCUGUCAGAGUCUUCUGGAAUGAGAGCUGGUUAUUGUAUUGAUUAGUUUCUUAAACCUGACACCAUCUUUUUAAUACUAUGACUUUUCUAUGUUAUAUGGCUGCCCAUAAUGGAGCAUUUUGAUCCUCUAAGAAUCAGUAUUUUGACUGGAUUACUGGGCAGUGAAAGGCUAUGUGGUUGGCAAAAGGCAGCAGUGAAUCAUCCAUGUUGACUUCUGUGCAAGAAAUGGCUCAAGGGAAAUCUUCCAGCAGGCAGAUAUCUGAUGGGAUAUUAUUACAUAUAUUAUGACAUGGCCAGCCAUGUAGUGAAAGGGAGGGGUAACAAGUGCUAAGUCUGGAGGCUAACCUAGGUGCACACAAAAGAUGAAGGGACCUGGGAGAGGUACUUCUCACCUGCUUACAUGUUGGGGAGGUCCUCUUUGGAGAGGAUACACACCAGCCAGCUAGAAUGAGAAGGAAUGUGUGGGGUGGAAUUCAGAAUGUUAGCUUGUGUGAGUGGAAUGCAGUUUUUGGCACCUCCUAGUGAGGUGGAAGGACUUUGAGGAGGUUUGGUGAGAAUAAAAGAAUGAGAAGUCAAGAUAUUGGAGAUAGGCAUCUUUCCUGGCCUCUUCUGUUUCUUCUCGUUGUCUGCCACCAGAAAUACAGAGAAGGCUUCUCAGUGUCAUGGAGCAGCACAGGGAAGAAGGCAAUCUCCCUACCUGGAUGGCUUUAUCCUUGCUUCCCUCAUCAGUGUAUGUGUGGAGAAGUGAUGUUGAAUGAUAAAAACCAGCUCUGUGUCCAUUUGUGUGAUUAACUUUCAUAUGGCUAAAAGGUUGUCACUGAUUGUUGCCCAAGUUGUUUCAGGGGUUUCUCCCCCUGCCUCCCUAUGAGCCAUAAUACUUCCCUGUUUAACCAAGUCAGGAAGGUUCCUGGGGAAAUCUUUCUGUAGUCUUAGAAGCGGUACCAAUACCACAUUAGGUCUUCCUCACCGUUCAUCUGCAUGGGGAGGGUGCUUACUGCUGACCUUUCCCAGUUCUUUUUUCUACCAGGAAGGUGGCUUGCAGGGGAGGAUAGAGGAGUCAGAUGCCUUUUGUGAGACAGCAAGUUCUAGUUCUAGCUCUGGCUUGGACCUGAGGAUUGGAGUCCUGGCCUUAGCCAAAGAUCUGACGACUACCAGGAGUGGGAAUUGUCCUCCCCCUUCCCCAUGCCUCCAGCCCAAGGAGACCCACAUCUCUGCACUGCUAUCCAAAGGGCAAAAUACUCAUUUCUUCCAUCAAACAAUAUCGUUGCCAAGGCUAACUCACCACCUACAAUGAGUAAAUUAAAUAUUGACUAUUUCAUUGACUGUUAGAUUUAAUUUGCAGCAAUCACACUGGAGCUGUAAUGGGAGCUGGGAAUGCCUUACUAUUUCAUCUGAGCUGUCAUCCCCCUUAAGUGUUGAAUAAUGAGGAAAAGAUGGACUUGACGGAAGAAAGGAGUCCCCUUUGUCGCACUCAUAUUCCCAAGAAUCAGAGAAUGUCAAUGCUGGGACUCCUUACGUGAUAGAGGAAGAAACUGAGGGAAGCAAGGAGAUUUAUGGAAUCAGCAAAUUUAGAGCAGGAAUGGAUUUUAGAAAACGUCUAGGCCAAUCCUCUUCUUUCACAGAGAAGGCUCAGAGUGAUUCAAGGACUUGCCCAAGCUUAUACAUAGUGGAAGCAGGAUUCAAACCCAAGUUUCUGGAAUCCUCAAUGCUAAGAAAAACAGUUAAUACAUCAGUUGUGAAUUCCCUUUGAGGCUCAAGCCCUUUGGAUGCCUCAGUUACCUGCAUGGAUAUCGUUUUAUGGGGGCUCCCCAUAAAACCUCACUCAUCUUUGAAAGGGCCUGCCCCUAUCCCACCCCAAAGCAGUAGAGGAUCCUCUCUAUUACUGAAUGGAUCAGGGGCUGCCUGGAGGAGGAGGAUCUGCCCAGAGUCAUCCAGCGUGCAUCUGAGACAGGCUCAAGACCUGAUUUCCCUACCUGAAGAACCAGGCCUCAGACUCUGGGAUGGACUGUAGGAGGCUACCAUUUAAAUAGAGACUCAGUAUGGUGAGAGAUCAGCCCUAGGCUUCCCAGGGACUAAGGCAGAAUUUGGACCUAUGCCCCCCUGCCUCUGUUUAGUUGAUUCUGGAAGCCUGGACUCAGAAUCUUUGGCUCUGGCCUCCAGUCUCAGGCUCUGACCCUUUGUGGCUGUGGGGCCUCAAACCGAGUCAUCACGCCACUCUGGUCCUCUGCAAGGUGGGACGAGCUGUUCUUUCGCCUCCCUCCUCCAGGGAGGUUCUCAGGACAGAACCGGGUCUGGGUCGGUGCUCCUGAGUCCUAGAGAAAUGGCCAAGUUCACAAGAGCCCAUAUUUUUAUGUAGGCAUUAUGGAGUAGCUGUUAUGUCCCAGGCCCUAUCCUAGGCCUUUGGGAGGCAGACAGAAAUGAUUAAAAAAAGACUUCCAGGACUAGGUGGUUCAGUGGAUAAAAAGCAAGGCUUGGAAGUGGGAGGUCCUGGGUUCAAAUGUGACCUCAGAUACUUCCUAGAUCUAUGACCCUGGGCAAGUCACUUAACCCCAGUGGCCUAGCCUUUACUGCUCUUCUUAUAUCUGGACUGAUAGUUGUAUUGAUUCUAAGUCAAAAGGUAAAGGUUUUUUAAAAAAUGACUUCAGUAUGCCCCGAUGGCUCUGAUAUCUCCUGGAAAUGCAAUUCCCUUCAAUAACUCAGAUGCAACUCUCUUUGCUGCUAGGUGCCUGCCUUGUUUCUCCCGUCAUCCAGAAGAUGCCCAUCUAGCCUUGGGGCGGUCUGCCUGUCCGCAAGGGAAGAUUGCUUUGCUUUGAAACCAAGACUUUUGCACCCCUCUCCCUUUUUAGCUGGAGAGACCCCCUAGGAGCCUUAAAACUCCCCAGAAACCUGGAGCAAGGGUGGGGCUAGGGAACUGUUUUUCCUCCCUUCUCCUGCCCGGGAUCUCUUGGAACUGGGCUUCACAGGGACCCUGGGACGAUGUGACAUGGGCUUUACAGAAACGGCAUCAUCAGAGGGGGAAGAACUUCUUCAAGACCCCCCAGCAAUGGAGUGGCAGAGCUGAGAGGCCUGGGGGCUGCGGUUGGGGCAUCUCAUCCCCCAGCAUUGAAGUUAGCAGUCUUACAAAAAUAGUUUUGCUCCUCUUUAAUCAUUCGCAGGUUUCAACUUUGGAGCCUGAUGACUUAGGAAAUCGGUUUUCCUAGCCAUGUGGCUUUCUAAGCUCCUUGUGGGCAGCUGCUGACCUCUGGCUCCUGGAAUCUCUGCUGUCACCCCUGUGCCAAGGAAACGAGAUUGCAGAGACCUAAUUCACCUAAUUCAAUCAAGCAGCAGCUCAUGCUCUUAACAAUCCUUUAUUUGUCUUUAAAUGGAAGGGCUAGGAAGGUGCCAGGUUUCAGGGCCAUAUCACCAGGGAAAUAGCAGAGAGCUCCAAGGAGAACAUCCCAUGAGUCGUCUCCUCAUACCUUUGGAUAGAAAAGCUCCUCCCCUGGGGCCUUAGCAGCUUCUGGGGGGGGGGGGCGGGGGCAAUCUUUGGGGCAGAAGGAAAGGAAAAUCACAAUUCAGAUUCAUUGAUCAGUCACUGAACAUUGAUUAAGCACCUACUGUGUACCAGGACAGAAAUGAAGUAGCUCCUUCCCUAAAAGAGUUUGCAUUCCAAUGGGGAGAUAAGCUAUACACAUUUGAGGGUGUAGACAGCAUAUAUUUUGUUGUUUAGUCAUUUCAGAUUUAUCUGACCCUCUGUGACCCCAAAGAGUAGAGGAAGAGGACCUAGUGAUAGUUGUGCUUUAGGGCAGUCCCUUUCAUGACUCUGUGGAGAAUGGGUCCAAGGCUCAGACACAGAGACCAGUUAGGGGGCUUUUGGCAUAAUGGUGAAAGGGGAUGUGAGCCAAUGAGCAUAGGGACCAUGGGAGAGAUUCUGGGAGGGGCAAAGAUGAGAACCACAGCAUGGAUAUUUGGAGAGAGAGAGAGAGAGAAUUUGUGGUCAAGGAUGAAGCAAGGCUUUACCCCAGGAGUCUAACCUCUGCUGACUAUAGAGAUCUGAGAAUCCUCUGCACAGAGAGCAUACCUGAAGCCAUCGGAGCUGUAAAAGGGUAGAGACAAAGAGAAGAGGGCCCAGGAGAGAAGCCUGGGGGCACUCUGUGGGCAUGUUGUCAGAAGCACUGUUUUUUAAAUGUUAUUUAAUUGAUUAAUUUAGAAUAUUUUUCCAUGGUUACAUGAUUCAUGUUCUUACCCUCCCCUCCUCCCACCCCCCUCCCGUAGCCAAUGUGUAAUUCCACUGGGUUUUACAUGUGUCAUUGAUCAAGAUCUGUUUCCAUAUUACUGAUAUGUGCACUAGGGUGAUCAUUUAGAGUCUAUAUCCCCAAUCAUAUCCCCUUCAACCCAUGUGAUCAAGCAGUUGUUUUUCUUCUGUGUUUCUACUCCCACAGUUCUUUCUCUGAAUGUGGAAAGCUUUCUUGCUCAUGAGUCCCUCCGAAUUGUUCUGGGUCAUUGCAUUGCUGCUAGUAGAGAAGUCCAUUACAUUUGAUUGUACCACAGUGUAUCUGUCUCUGUGUACAAUGUUCUCCUGGUUCUGCUCCUUUCACUCUGCAUCAAUUCCUGGAGGUCGUUCCAGUUCACAUGGAAUCCCUCCAGUUUAUCAUUCCUUUAAGCAUAACAGUAUUCCAUCACCAAUAGAUACCACAAUUUGUUCAGCCAUUCCCCAAUUGAAGGGCAUCCCCUCAUUUUCCAAUUUUUUGCCACCAAAAAGAGCGCAGCUAUGAAUAUUCUUGUACAGGUCUUUUUCCUUAUUAUCUCUUUGGGGUACAAACCCAGCAGUGCUGUGGCUGGGUCAAAGGGCAGACAGUCUUUUAGUGCCCUUUGGGCAUAGUUCCAAAUUGCCCUCCAGAAUGGUUGGAUCAAUUAAUUCACAACUCCACCAGCAAUGCAUUAAUGUCCCUGUUUUCCACAUCCCCUCCAACGUUUGUUACUUUUCCUUUGCUGUCGUGUUAGUCAAUCUACUAGGUUUAAAUCAGAAGCAUUUCAGAAGCUUCCUGCAGGGUGGAGGCCAUUGGACCAGCCAUUACACAACUCUAGAAGACCUUAGGAACCAUCACAUACAACACUAAUUUUUCUUGAAGAGGAAACUGAGGUUCAGAGAGGGAGGGACUUGCCUAAGGCUCACUAAAUCAUAUGUAUGAGAUUCAAAUCCAGGCCCCACACUCGAUGCAGGGAGAGUUCUGGGACUCAGUGGCCUCCUCUGUCCAACAAGGGGGUCCCCUCUAAGGAUCCCCCAGCUCUUUUAUUUUCUGGCUGUGGAACCACUUUUCCAUGAAGACUUCUCUGGAGAGGAUCUUGGAUUAGGGGCCAAAGGCCCUGCUCAUUGCCUGUAAGACUGUGUCUCAGUGGCUUCCUCUGUCAGAGUUGGGGAUCAGGCUCAAUGGCCUGGGGUCCCUUCCAGAUCCUAUAAGCUCCCUAUCCUGAUGCAGUCACAGACACUCUCCUCCCUCUACUCCCCCUCUCUCCAAUAUGGAAAGGAAUAUUUUGGGUAUUUAGGCAACACUGGGCCUGGAAUUAGGAAGACCUGAGUUCUAAUCUAGCCUCAGACACAUGCUAGUUAUGUGACCCUGAGCAAGUAACUUUACCUUUGUUUGCCUCUGUUUCCUCAUCUAUAAAAUGAGGAUAACAGUAGCAGCUUCUUCCCAGAGUUUUGAGGGUCAAAUGAGACAAAGAUUGUAAAGUCCUCACCAUAGUGCUGGGAACACAGAACUAUAGAAAUGGUAGCUUUUAUUAUUCUUGCUGCUGGUGAUGUGAUUUUAAUGUUGGGUUCUUCUCAUCAGCCAAACAUCUACCUUUUCUUCUUUCUGACGUCUUCUUUUCCUGGUAAAGGGAAGAGAAGGAAAGGAGGUGACACAGAGAAUCACAUUUUCAUCAUUUCUCAGUAAAUCAGGCAGAGGCUUUAGACACACUCGAAGCUGAAGUCACAAAAUCAUGUCAGAACCUGCCAGCACUGGAAAAGGCACUUCCCAGUGGGGUGACUGCCGAGUCAUUGCAACUCCACAAGGUUCAGUUUCCUCAUCUGUAGAAGGGGACAAUGCUGUUCAGAGCAUCAACUUGGCACUGUUGUGAAAAGCAGAGGAGACAAUGAUGUAGCCAAGAAAUGUCAGCUCCUGUGAAAAGUUAUGGAUCUGGAAAACAAACCAGAGAAAAGAAUGGCAUAUGGGAUCACAGAGUGUUGGACAUUAUUGAAAUAACCAAACAGCAUUAAUAGUCACAUUCUUGUCACAUUCUUUUCUUCUUUCUGGGUGAGGCUCAGAUAGAACCAAUCCUGGGAUAAGGCACCAGCCAGCUAGAAUUCUUUUACAGUUGAUGUUCUAUGGACUAUUGUACUAGACAGUGGAAAAAAAGAUUGCUCUUAUCCACGUUGAAACAAUUAUAAUUAAUUAUUAGUCAUAUUGUUAGUCCAGCCCACUCAUUUCACAAAUGGAGAAACUGAGGCCUAGGAAGCAGGGACAUGCGGAAGCUCACCCAUCUUCUUCUUGGGGCUAAGCUGGAAGUGGAAUCCCAGUCUGUAAGUGGGAACAUGGAGCUCACCCAGUCUGACUCCAGGGAAGCACCUGCCAGUAUUUUGGGCAGUUUUUGCCACUCUCUCCUCUAAAAGGGAUAAUUGUGUCGGCUGAGUUUCUUCACUCUGCUCUCUAUGGUUAUCACCAAGGUCAAAGGAAUUAAAGUUUAACUCGAAAGUUCUUUACUCCAGUCUGGAGAUCUAUAAUUUCCUAGUCAUUUCCCUCCCCAGCUGACAUUCCACGCCUUAUAGAUUAAAAAUCUGAGCCCACAGGGCCAUAGGAGAAGAGGAGCAAGAGGAGACAUGCCAUCCUAUAGGUUGUGGAAGAGAAAGGAGGAAGAUGCUAAUUCAAGAAGGAAUGACUUUGGCCUGUUUAUAUAGAGGAGCCUGGAUUGUUUCCUAAACCCAAAUUAUGGGGAAAAGGCUCUUCUCUGAUCAUAGGAAGGAAUUAUUUGUGUUAUUAAUAUGUGCCAAGUACUGGAGCAUUGUAUUGCUAUGAGAUGUGAAGGUGCUGUGGAGGGAGAGGAAAAGGAAGGACAAAUGGGAAAAAGGAAAGAAAGAAAUGUAAGGAAGAAGAAAAGGAGGGAAAAUAAAGAAAGAGAUAGAAAAUGUUAUAAAUUUUUUUAAAAUGUUUUAAAAUGUUGGAUUUGAGUCCUAUAUUGCCUCUAGAGUUAGAGACCUGGGUUAAAUUCCAUCUUGGAUAUCUCAUUCCUAAGUGACCAAGGGCCAAUCUUUCCCCUCAGUUUUCUUUUUUAUUUAAUGAGGAAAUUGGACAAUGUUCUUGCUGGCUCUAGAUAUGGACUCUGAUAAUCCCUAUGAACUCAGAAAGGAUGUUCCUUUACUCUGAACCUAAUUUUCUUCAUCUGUAAUCUAGGGGAAUUGGACUAACAGUUGGCCUCUCCCAGUUCUGCCAUAUCCUUUUUGAGAGCCCUCCCUUUCCAGCUUUGCCAUCCCCUAUUCUAAGCUCCCUUUCCAGCUCUGACAUGCCAAGAACCCAGGGAAGUGAGUGGCGCUAACAGUAAUGAAAGAGGCAGGAUAGAAAUGUCCUUCAGGAAGCUGAAGGAAAGAGAAGGAGCAUUGUACAUAGUCAGGAGAAUCUGAAUUUGAAUCUGAUGGUGAAGUGGAUAGACCUGGAAUCAGGAAGAUUCAUCUUCCUUGAUUCAAAUUUGGCCUGAGACACUUACUAGCAGUAAGUGAAGUCACUGAAGGCAACACAAGGAGAUUGUUUUCUAGGCAUCUCCUCUCCUGAGUUCAAACACCACCUCUGUCCAUGGUCACCCACUGAGUUAGGGCCUGGGCCCGUAGGAAUGAUCCCUGGAGCCCCCUGCCUCCUGCUCUAGCCUGUCUUUGAAUCUUCCAGCUAUUUUCCAGGGUUUCCAGGGCCUCCUGCAUUUGGAAAAUGACUAGGUCUCGGGCAGGGUUAGUUUGGGAUCUAGCCACUGUUGGAACACAGCUAAGUUUUUAUCAGAGAAUACCAGUGGAUCAUUGGAAAAGCAUGCAUUGAGCUCAAUUACAUGAGCCUUUGUCAAAAUUGUAUACUUAUGAGGUAGGUAUUCAGGAGAUCAUUUCCAUUAGUACAACUAAACAAAGGACCCUGGCCAUGUUGGACACAUUCUCUCUCUCUCUCUCUCUCUCUCUCUCUUUCUCUCUCUCUCUCUCUCUCUCUCUCUCUCU